CCCUACUCUUGAGAUGCUCACAUCCUGGGGAGGGGAAGAGACAGUGCUAUGGACUGAAUGUUUGUGUCCCCCUUCCCUCGCAUUCGUAUGCUGAAGCCCUGAUUCUCAACGUGAUGCUCUUUGGAGAUGGGGCCUUUGGGAUAUAAUUAGGUCAGGAGGGUGGAAAUCUUCGUGACGGGAUUAACACCCUCAUAAGAAGAAAUAUGAAACAGCUUGCUUCUCUUCUUUCUCUUAGCCAUGUGAGGACACAGCAAGAUCACAGGAAGAGGGUUCUCAUCAGACACUGAACCUGCGGGCACCUUGAUUGCGGACUUCCCAGCCUCCAGAACGAGUCUGGCUGUGAAGACCACCGGAUAAAUGGGCAGUUAUUGGAAGAAGGUCCUGCAAAUACGUCAGGGUGUCUCCUCAGGCCACCUCCCUUCCUUUCUGGUGGCCUGACCUCCACGUACCUGUCCCUUCAGCUAACUUCCCACUACCACAAAUACUCCAAUACAUUCACACUUCAGGCUACAGGCCGAACCAAUCUUCACCUAGUCUGAGAUUCAUGCCUGGUCCUGUUUCUUCCGCCAGCAUCAGCAUUUUCUCAGUAUUACCGACAGCCAGGACCUCGGUGCAUAGUCUGGCCCAAUGGCCCCAAAGAGACAAUCCUAUGAGAGUCUAACAUCAGCACGUUGCUGAGAGACAUGGAAAAUAAUGUCAGAGCUGGUGAUGGAACUCUCCCUUUCCUCUGCCUUCAUGCUUCCAUGUGGACGGAGCUCCAUUAGAGUAUUACUCCUACUCUCUCACCCCAUUCCCUCUCCAAGGAUGGAGCAGUGACUUAUCUGAUUGGUGUGCUUGAGGAAGGAGCUCAGCCUGCCUCUCUCUGUCUUUGUAUGUCACUGCAUACUUGCAGAAAUGAAUAUUCAGGAACAAGUCUUCAUGGGAGAACCCUGAAUUUGGUCAGUCCAGCCAUGGUCUGUGAGGCGAUGUUUGUCUAACUCAAGGCUACUAACAAUAAAGAUAAAGUUUUAGUUUCUACUUA